rnacentral:lncRNA from 1 species
CCCGGCGCGGCGCGACCCCGUCGAUGUGGAUAGGGCCCUUCCUCCCAGCGACCGUAUGUGGCGGCCGGGGACAGUGCUGCUGGUCUGCGCUGAAAGCCUUGGACACACCGGGCUACAUCUUGCAGGCUCGUAGAAAAAAAAUAUGCUGCAGAUGUGAACUUGAAUGAAAUUACUCCGCUGUCUAUAAUCAGUGAUACUGCAAGAAUUAACCAACUAAACAAGAAUUUACAAAUAAAACCUAAGAAGUCUGGUGAAGCCUGGGAACU